rnacentral:rRNA from 1 species
AACGAACGCUGGCGGCAUGCCUAACACAUGCAAGUCGAACGAAGUCUUCGGACUUAGUGGCGCACGGGUGCGUAACGCGUGGGAAUCUGCCCUUGGGUGCGGAAUAACUUCUCGAAAGGGAUGCUAAUACCGCAUAAUGUCGUAAGACCAAAGAUUUAUCGCCCAAGGAUGAGCCCGCGUAAGAUUAGCUAGUUGGUGGGGUAAAAGCCUACCAAGGCGACGAUCUUUAGCUGGUCUGAGAGGAUGAUCAGCCACACUGGGACUGAGACACGGCCCAGACUCCUACGGGAGGCAGCAGUGGGGAAUAUUGGACAAUGGGCGAAAGCCUGAUCCAGCAAUGCCGCGUGAGUGAUGAAGGCCCUAGGGUUGUAAGCUCUUUUACCAGGGAUGAUAAUGACAGUACCUGGAGAA